rnacentral:rRNA from 1 species
GUAGGCGGUCGUAUAAGCGAAUAGUGAAAUCUGGUGGCUCAACCAUCAACCCAUUGUUCGAACUGUACGACUCGAGAAUGGUAGAGGUAGCUGGAAUUUCUUGUGUAGGAGUGAAAUCCGUAGAUAUAAGAAGGAACACCAAUGGCGUAGGCAGGCUACUGGACCAUUUCUGACGCUGAGGCACGAAAGCGUGGGGAGCGAACCGGAUUAGAUACCCGGGUAGUCCACGCCGUAAACUAUGGAUACUAGCUGUAGGGGGUAUCGACCCCCUCUGUAGCGAAGCUAACGCGUUAAGUAUCCCGCCUGUGGAGUACGGCCGCAAGGCUAAAACAUAAAGGAAUUGGCGGGGACCCGCACAAGCGGUGGAGCGUGUUCUUUAAUUCGAUGCUAAACGAAGAACCUUACCAGGGCUUGACAUCCCGAGAAUUACUGCGAAAGCAGUGAGUGCCUUAGGGAACUCGGUGACAGGUGCUGCAUGGCCGUCGUCAGCUCGUGUCGUGAGAUGUUUGGUUAAGUCCAUCAACGAGCGCAACCCCUAUGAAUAGUUGAAUUUUUCUAUUCAGACUGCCCCGGCAACGGGGAGGAGGGGGGGGAUGAUGUCAGGUCAGUAUUGCCCUUACGUCCUGGGCUAGAAACGCGCUACAAUGGCCGGUACAACGCGAUGCCAACCCGCAAGGGGGAGCAAAUCGCAUCAAAGCCGGUCCCAGUUCAGAUUGCAGGCUGAAACUCGCCUGCAUGAAGUCGGAAUCGCUAGUAAUCGCAGAUCAGCACGCUGCGGUGAAUACGUUCCCGGGUCUUGUACACACCGCCCGUCAAACCAUGAAAGUGACCAACACCCGAAGUCCGAUUCGUCGGCCUAAGGUGGGGGGCAUGAUUGGGGUU